rnacentral:tRNA from 1 species
GGAGGCGUGACUCAGUGGUAGAGUGCUUGCCUAGCAGGCAUGAGGCCCUGGGUUUGAUCCCCAGCACCCCCA